UAAGACAGAGGUCCCGAGCGUUAGGCGGAAUCACUGGGCUUAAAGCGUGUGUAGGCGGAUCUGUAAGUACCUUGUGAAAUCCCACAGCUUAACUGUGGAACUGCUUGGUAUACUGCGGAUCUUGAGCCACCUAGGGGCGAGCGGAACAAACGGUGGAGCGGUGAAAUGCGUAGAUAUCGUUUGGAACGCCAAUGGUGAAAACAGCUCGCUGGGGGUGUGCUGACGCUGAGACACGAAAGCCAGGGGAGCGAACGGGAUUAGAUACCCCGGUAGUCCUGGCUGUAAACGAUGUCCACUAGAUUGUGGCGGCUCUGACGCCGUCACGGUCGAAGCAAAAGUGCUAAGUGGACCGCCUGGGAAGUACGGUCGCAAGGCUA
rnacentral:rRNA from 1 species